ACCUGUUUGUUCUAACUCUCACUGCUGGAUUGGAAGGUUACCAUGUGAAUGUUGAUGGACAGCAUGUGACAUCAUUUCCAUACCGCACUGGAUUUGUUCUUGAGGAUGCUACUGGCUUAUCAUUGAAUGGGGACCUGGAUGUGCAAUCAGUGUUCGCGGGGACUCUGCCAACUACACAUCCUAGCUUUUCUCCACAGAAACAUCUAGAGUUGUUACCCAGUUGGCAGGCCCAUCCCCUUCCAGACGAACCAGUUGAGAUUUUCAUCGGUAUCCUGUCAGCAGGCAACCAUUUUGCUGAGCGUAUGUCUGC